rnacentral:rRNA from 1 species
GAUGAACGCUGGCGGCGUGCCUAAUAUAUGCAAGUCGAGCGAACAGACGAGGAGCUUGCUCCUCUGACGUUAGCGGCGGACGGGUGAGUAACACGUGGAUAACCUACCUAUAAGACUGGGAUAACUUCGGGAAACCGGAGCUAAUACCGGAUAACAUGUUGAACCGCAUGGUUCAACAGUGAAAGACGGUCUUGCUGUCACUUAUAGAUGGAUCCGCGCCGCAUUAGCUAGUUGGUAAGGUAACGGCUUACCAAGGCAACGAUGCGUAGCCGACCUGAGAGGGUGAUCGGCCACACUGGAACUGAGACACGGUCCAGACUCCUACGGGAGGCAGCAGUAGGGAAUCUUCCGCAAUGGGCGAAAGCCUGACGGAGCAACGCCGCGUGAGUGAAGAAGGUCUUCGGAUCGUAAAACUCUGUUAUUAGGGAAGAACAAAUGUGUAAGUAACUAUGCACGUCUUGACGGUACCUAAUCAGAAAGCCACGGCUAACUACGUG